CCUGAUGUUCUGCCAUUAGUCCCCUACCUGCUGAAUAAAGUGCGCAGGGACAGAGGAAGCCUCAUCCAAAAGGAUGGUCGUCAAACCGUGAGGAGAGACGGCGACUGUUAGCACCGAUACGGUCGGGAAC
rfam:Candidatus Magnetomorum sp. HK-1 HK1c2991, whole genome shotgun sequence.